CCUACGGGUGGCAGCAGUGGGGGAUAUUGCACAAUGGGGGAAACCCUGAUGCCGCGACGCCGCGUGUGGGAAGACGGUCCUCUGGAUUGUAAACCACUGUCCCCAGGGACGAAAAUGACGGUCCCUGGGGAGGAAGCUCCGGCUAACUACGUGCCAGCCGCCGCGGUAAUAUGUAGGGAGCGAGCGUUGUCCGGAUUUACUGGGUGUAAAGGGAGCGUAGGCGGGGAUGCAAGUUGGGGGUCAAAACUACCGGCUCAACUGGGAGUCGCACUCAAAACUGCAGCUUUUGAGUGAAGUAGAGGCAGGCGGAAUUCCGAGUGUAGCGGUGAAAUGCGUAGAUAUUAGGAGGAACACCAGUGGCGAAGGCGGCCUGCUGGGCUUUUACUGACGCUGAGGCUCGAAAGUGUGGGGAGCAAACAGGAUUAGAUACCCGUGUAGUC
rnacentral:rRNA from 1 species